CCUGAUUUUUUAUUUAGGGUUUACUUAUUCGUGUACCUGUGUUGAGUUGAUUUUUAAUGCUUUUGUGUACUGUUUAGGUUCCAUCCAAUGUUGCAGUGUUUAUGCAUUGCAUUUACAAUAUUUGCAUCUGUUGUGUGUGUUGUUUGUUAUCUUGGGUGAUUGAUGCUAUCUGCUUGGCUAAUUGUAAAAGAUUCUUGUUGAUUAUUCCUAUUAGGAAGGCUUUAACUUUAAAGCCUUCAUAACUAUUCCUGUUAGGAAGGCUUUAACUUUAAAGAUUCUUGUUGUGAUGUUUUUGUUGUUAGGCU
rnacentral:lncRNA from 1 species